rnacentral:rRNA from 1 species
AGUGAACGCUGGCGGUAGGCCUAACACAUGCAAGUCGAACGGCAGCACAGUAAGAGCUUGCUCUUACGGGUGGCGAGUGGCGGACGGGUGAGGAAUACAUCGGAAUCUACUUUUUCGUGGGGGAUAACGUAGGGAAACUUACGCUAAUACCGCAUACGACCUACGGGUGAAAGCAGGGGAUCUUCGGACCUUGCGCGAUUGAAUGAGCCGAUGUCGGAUUAGCUAGUUGGCGGGGUAAAGGCCCACCAAGGCGACGAUCCGUAGCUGGUCUGAGAGGAUGGUCAGCCACACUGGAACUGAGACACGGUCCAGACUCCUACGGGAGGCAGCAGUGGGGAAUAUUGGACAAUGGGCGCAAGCCUGAUCCAGCCAUACCGCGUGGGUGAAGAAGGCCUUCGAGUUGUAAAGCCCUUUUGUUGGGAAAGAAAAGCAGCAGGUUAAUACCCCGCUGUUCUGACGGUACCCAAAGAAUAAGCACCGGCUAACUUCGUG